UUUCCGUAGGUGAACCUGCGGAAGGAUCAUUAUUGUGUAACUGAGUUGCGAGGGCUGUCGCUGACCCGAAAGGUCGUGCACGCCCGAGUGCCCUCUCACUCAUCCAUCUUACCCCUAUGUGCACCACCGCGUGGGUCCCCCUUUGGCUUAUUCGGAGGGGGGCUUACGUUUUCACACUAACUUUGUAUGCAGUGUAGAAUGUAUUGUUUAUUUUUUCAAUCACGUAAUCAAUACAACUUUCAACAACGGAUCUCUUGGUUCUC
rnacentral:misc_RNA from 1 species